GGAAGUGUCACAAAACAUCUUUCAAAGAAUUAUUACCAGAUGAAUAUGGCUUUGGAAUUCAGUGUUUCUAAGAUGUUAUCUUAUUAGUCUUCACAACAUGCUGGGAAGAAGGAAGAACAUAUUGUUCUCAUCUGACAGACAGUGAAAUGGAGGAUGGAACCUCCAGUCUCCAGCAGAGUUGUAAAUAGAGACGCUGAUAAUAUUAACAAAGGAGUUACUCAAGUGGAAUAGGUGAUAAAGUCAUAAGGAAGUCGAUUGCAAGAUUUACAAUGGAUAAAUAAGAAGAGUAAUAAUAUCAGAAAAAAAAAGAGCUGAAAACAGGAUUGGCUGCAGAUAACCACCGUGCGUCUAAUCUAGGCUCUCAUCACCUCAGGCCUAAAUAAGCCAAUAACUGGAUUGUCUCACAUCUCAGACUCCUCCAAUUCAUCUUGCAAUGUUGCCAGAUUAAUCUUCCCAAAGUAUACCUUUCAUUAUGUCAACUCUCCCCCCUUCCUCUCUUGCACACACACAUGUCACCUCAGGGGGUAUCUUAUUUCCCAAACUUUGUUUUGUGAAA